rnacentral:lncRNA from 1 species
GCACUACAUCAAUCUUUUAUUUUGAAACUAGAUCACAUGAACCACGCCAAGUACAAGUUUGUAUCCUCUCGCCAGCUGUUUAACUUAUGUCACUUCUUGUGAAAGGUUCCUUUGAGAGGAUAUUAAAAGCUUUGCUAGGUGGAGAUCUAUGACAGGGUAACAGGUCUUGUGGGCAGACAGGAAGAAGCAGGUGUUAGAGAAGAUUUAACUGGUCUGACGUGCUUUGUUCUCAACAAAUCUGUUCUGGCUCCUACAGACUGUCAUCCACCUGUUAUGGUCUACAGUGCUACAGUGUUUUGCUGCUGUUGUUCUAGGACUUUCCCAGUUGCUGAAAUUUGGAUUACACAUUUAUGCCCUUCUUUCCCCCCCUAAAUUGGCUACUUUGAAACUUACACCUCCUCCAUGAGUUCUUGGAGUUAAUAACAAAUGAAUCUUAACCCACAAGACUUGUGGUAAUUUUUCUGACAGUGACAUGAAGCAGCAUCACAUUAUGCUCCUCUACCAUUUAUCUCAAAAGUUAGAACAAUGUCAGAGCCAAUCAAUCUUAUACUAGGCAGGAAGAACAGGAUCUGAUAAAUACACACAUUACUUUUACAGACAACAUGAAGUGUUGGAUUCCUGGUCUGCUGGGAGCAGAAAUCGAUUCAGAAAACAUUAACAUUCAACAAAUUUGUCUGUCAUUUUAAAUACUGACUGAUGAUGAGAUAGGACAAGAGCCAUGAAAUCUUUACAGCGAUUAAUAACAAUUCUAAUUUUCAGCUUUUCUGAGCAUGUAAGACUUUACUGCUUGCAUGCCACUGAAAAUAAUACAAUCUUAAAGUAGAUAUAGCAUAUAAAUAUAUUAUAUGAAAAGAAAACUACUUUGCAAGGACAGACAUUCAGAAGUUAAUAACUGCCAGAUGCAUUAUUGCCCUUCAACAUCAAUUUUUAAUUGGCCUCAAACCUGGAAACAAGGCAAUGAUUCUGUAGAAAAAGCUUGUAACAAAACACUUAAAAUUUAUAUGCAUAGAUGACUAAGGAUAUGUAUUUUUGAACAGUCCUAGAGCUUAACUUUCUAAACAAAAUGAGUUUGGUGGGUUAGUAUUACUAAGACAUGCUAAUUUUCUUCCCUCUAAUGAAACACUAAAAAUCGCAAUAAUACAUUUUUUCAGUUAAGUCAAGAUUUAACCAAGUGGGAAACUUAAGAUAAAAGCAAUAUCCAUUACAAACAUAUCAAAACUGCCCUUAUUUCUAUUUGCUUUUUGUAUUCCAUACAUACAAGAGCAAAAAUAAUCUGUACAGACAAUUGUGUAGUGGCUACUACUAGACUGAAAAGUCAAAUGUAGGUAUGCAAAUACACUGAAUC